rnacentral:rRNA from 1 species
GUAGGUGGCAAGCGUUGUCCGGAAUUAUUGGGCGUAAAGCGCGCGCAGGCGGUCCUUUAAGUCUGAUGUGAAAGCCCACGGCUCAACCGUGGAGGGUCAUUGGAAACUGGGGGACUUGAGUACAGAAGAGGAAAGCGGAAUUCCAAGUGUAGCGGUGAAAUGCGUAGAGAUUUGGAGGAACACCAGUGGCGAAGGCGGCUUUCUGGUCUGUAACUGACGCUGAGGCGCGAAAGCGUGGGGAGCAAACAGGAUUAGAUACCCUGGUAGUCCACGCCGUAAACGAUGAGUGCUAAGUGUUAGGGGGUUUCCCGCCCCCUUAGUGCUGCAGCUAACGUAUUAAGCACUCCGCCUGGGGGAGUAUGGCCCGCAAGGCUG